rnacentral:rRNA from 1 species
GGAAGUGAACCAUCUCAGUACCUGCAGGAAGAGAAAACAAGUCAGUGAUUCCGCUAGUAGCGGCGAGCGAACGCGGAACAGCCCAAACCAGAGGGCUUGCUCUCUGGGGUUGUAGGGCCCGUUGGGCCGCAAGGCCGCCGAGUGAUCAACCGGAUCGUUAGUCGAACCCGUAUGGAAAUCGGGACCAUAGAAGGUGACAGUCCUGUAGACGACAACCAUCCGGCUCGGUGGACGGGUACCUGAGUACCGCGGGACACGUGAAAUCCCGUGGGAAUCUACGAGGACCAUCUCGUAAGGCUAAAUACUCGCUGGUGGCCGAUAGUGAACCAGUACCGUGAGGGAAAGGUGAAAAGCACCCCUGUGAGGGGAGUGAAAUAGUACCUGAAACCGUAUGCCUACAAGCAGUCGGAGGGCUAUACCGGGGUAACCCGGUCUGCCUGACGACGUGCCUUUUGCAUAAUGAGCCGGCUAGUUAUUCUCAGUGGCGAGGUUAAGCGCAAAGCGAGCCGCAGCGAAAGCGAGUCCGAAUAGGGCGACAGAGUCGCUGGGAAUAGACGCGAAGCGGGAUGAUCUACCCUUGGCCAGGAUGAAGUACGGGUAACACCGUAUGGAGGUCCGAACCGGUGUUGGUUGAAAACAGCUCGGAUGAGCUGAGGGUAGGGGUGAAAGGCUAAUCAAAUUCCGUGAUUGCCCGUUCUCCUCGAAAUGCCUUUAGGGGCAGCCUCGGAUGGUCGGCGCUGGUGGUAGAGCACUGGAUGGACUAGGGGCCUUACCAGGUUACUGAAUCCAACCAAACUUCGAAUGCCAGCGACACGUAAUCCGGGAGUGAGACGGUGGGGGCUAAGCUUCAUCGUCGAAAGGGAAACAGCCCAGACAUCCAGCUAAGGUCCCAAACUUCAUGCUAAGUGGGAAAGGACUCGGAGACGCUCAGACAACCAGGAGGUUGGCUUAGAAGCAGCCAUCCUUUAAAGAAAGCGUAAUAGCUCACUGGUCAAGCGGCUCCGGGCCGACAAUGUAACGGGGCUCAAGCAUGAGACCAAAGCUGAUGACUGGUGGAUCCUGCGGGGUCCACCAUUGGUAGAGGAGCGUUCCUGCAGCUGUGAAGCCAGACCGACAAGGACUGGUGGAGUGGCAGGAAGUGACCCUGCCGGCAUAAGUAGCGAGAAGGGAAGUGAGAAUCUUCCCCGCCGUAAGCCUAAGGAUUCCUGAGGUAGGUUCGUCCGCUCAGGGUUAGUCGGGAGCUAACGCGAGGCCGAAAGGCGUAGCGGAUGCACAUCCGGUUAAUAAUCCGGAACUACCUGAAGAUCGUUAUCACGAUGGGGGGACGCAGGAGGCUAUGCGGGCCUGGAUAGGGUCGCAAGACAGCCAGGUUGAGGCAUGUAGGGGGAUCCGGCAGGUAAAUCCACUGGAUCGCAUUCCCUGAGGUGCCGAAGCGAGAGCCGCAAGGCUCACAAAGCCGCAGACGCCACGCUGCCGAGAAAAGCCUCUAAGGAGAUCUUCGGGUACCCGUACCGCAAACCGACACAGGUAGGCGAGGAGAAAAUCCUCCGGCGCAAGUGAGACUCCACGUUUAGGAACUAGGCAAAAUAACCCCGUAACUUCGGGAGAAGGGGUGCUUCUUGUCGUUAGUGGCUUCGCGCCACGAAGCGUCACAGAAGUUGCAAUAAAGAGGCUCAAGCGACUGUUUACUAAAAACACAGGGCUCUGCUAAGUCGAAAACGACGUAUAGGGUCUGACGCCUGCCCGGUGCCGGAAGGUUAAAAGGAGGAGUUAGUCGCAAGGCGAAGCUCCGAAUUGAAGCCCCGGUAAACGGCGGCCGUAACUAUAACGGUCCUAAGGUAGCGAAAUUCCUUGUC